AAUCGCGGUCUUUUCUCAUUCAACUAAAAGUUGAAUUGAGAAAACAACACGUAUCACUCUCGUGAUUAUUUCUCCCCUGUUUUCAGGGGCGUAACACGAGCAAGGAGGCCUGCAAACCUGACUCGUUUAUAUCAGCUCUGUCAGGAGGAAUGGGCCAAAAUUCACCCAACUUAUUGUGGGAAGCUUGUGGAAUGCUACCUGAAACGUUUGACCCAAGUUAAACAAUUUAAAGGCAAUGCUACCAAAUACUAAUUGAGUGUAUGUAAACUUCUGACCCACUGGGAAUGUGAUGAAAAAAAAAGAUAAUAAAUCAUUCUCUCUA